GGCCUGGAAACAAAACCCAGCAAAUGUUGGAGAUGGACAGAGUAGAGUUGGAUACACUCCACAUCACCAGAUCAGUCCCACUCUGCCCACACUGGCACACAGCAGGUACUUGGUGGCUGCAGCUUCCCUAGUGGCUUGUUCAUGGCUCCCAUUUGUCUGUGGGAUUCCAUCCAAGUCUUGUAAAUGAUGUGGCUGAGGAGGUUCAGGCCUAUGCAGAACAGCACUGGGGACAGAACAUCUCCUGCAGUUGGCUUGAAGUUGGCUUCUAGUGUUGUUCUCCACAUCCCCUGUUCCUGAGUUCCUGACAAAGGCUCUUAGGGUCCU